GAAAUUGUCUAAAACAGAAGAAACCAACUAAUAAAACAUCAAAAUGUUACAAAUUUCCUUGUAGAGGUACACAUAUUACAGCUUCCAAAAUUGUUACUUUACCUGUAACUUGUCUCAAUUGUAUAUUUUCAAUUUAGCUUAAUCUGCUCAAGCAGCAAUCAAUGGCUUGUUUUCCAGCAAUAAGGAAUCAGAAUCCUCCUCCGAAUACGUCAACAUCCUUUCUAGAAGUUCUUGUAUAUCAAGUGCAAUCACCAUCACUGUGAUGCUAUUCCGGCCUCUCCAGCAUCCUAUAGCGAUAGUGGAUGCAUCCACUUGAGGUUCCGGCAAGGUCUUAUUGUCUUUAUUCAAAAUCACUACACA
rnacentral:misc_RNA from 1 species